UGAAGGUGGCACGGUCGCGUACCGUCUU
rnacentral:sRNA from 1 species